GCUAACAUAGUUUAAACUAAAAUAAUACUUUUGUAAUGUAUUGAUGACAGAUGUCUGUUUGCU
rnacentral:tRNA from 1 species